UUCAAAGUAUACAAUUCAGUGGUUUGUUUAUAUUCAGAGUUGUGCAACCAGCACCAUAUAAUUUCAGAAUAUUUUCAUCACUUGGAAAAGAAACCUCAUACCAUUGGCCAUCUCUCCCCACUCCUCCUGCUUAUUCCCUGGAAACCAUUGAGUUGCUUUCUGUCCUCAUGGAUCUGCUAUUCUGAAAGCUUCAUCGUUCACCUAUGGAGCUUCUUGUGACAGGUUUCUUUCUCUCAGCUUAAUGUUUUUAAGGUGCAUUCCAUGUUAGAGCAUGUUAUCAGGACUUAAUUAUCUUUUUGUUGCUGAGUAAUCUAUUGCAUGCAUAUAUCACAUUUGGCUUAUCCAUCCAUCAAUUGAAGGAUAUUUGCACUCUUUCUACUUCUUAGCUGUUAUGAAUAAUUCUACUAUGAAGAUCUAUGUGCAAGUUUUAGAGUGAAUCUGUCUUCACUUCUCUUUCAAGAUGCCUCUAUGUUUAACAUGUUUUAUUUAAACUAUGGGAAGUGCUAUAUAUUUAUUGAACAAUGAGGUUGGGUUUUUUUGUUGUUGUUGUUUUUGUUUGGGUACCAGGUAAUGAACCUAGGGGCACUUAACCUCUGAGCCACAUCCCCAGCCCUUUUUAUAUUUUUUAUUUUAAAACAGGUCUCACGAAGUUGCUGAGGCUGACUUUGAACUUGGCAAUCAUAUUGUCAGCCUCCUGUCAGUCCGGCAUGAACAAUGAAAAACUGUCAAUUAGCACUUGGAUGUCUCUAGAAAGCUCAAAGCCACGUUGUGAUCCUUGCAGCAACAUAUGAUUCAGAACCUUAUGAUGUCUGUGGUGGAACAAUCUUGAUUCAACUCCAUUGUGUGGUCUGUAAUUACCUGCUUCAGCAGUAUAAGACAGUUUCUCCACACCCUCCCGACCGUUGGUAUGGUUAAGAAACAAGGUCUCACUGAUUUGCUUAGUGCCUCACCAUUGCUGAGGCUGGCUUUGAAAUCACCAUCCUCCUGCCUCAGCCUCCCAAGCCGCUGGGAUUACAAGCAUGCUCCACCAUGCCUGGCAGAUUUCCUCAGGUGUGAAAUGGAAAUAAUCCCUAUCUUAUGCUCGUGUGCAAACUAGAUGAGCAGACCUGAGCAAAACACGUAAACACUUCGGCAAAUGAACUAUUACAAUCCCAUUGAGUCCUCGAAUCAAGUCGGUGAGAUGCAGAAUCAUCAGAUUCAGAGGACUGUGUGUGUGCUAUUCUUCUCCUGUACAUAUAUUCCUAUGAUGAAGUUUAAUGUAUAAAUUAGACACCACAAUAACUAAAUGAAAUAGAAUAAUUUUAACAAUAUACUGUAAUAAAAGUUAUUUAAAUCUUAUAAAUUGUUUACUUCUGGAAUCUUCCAUGUAAUGUUUUCAGAUGAUGGUUGACAGUGGGUAACUGAAAUUGCAGAAAGUGAAGCUGAGGGUUAGGGGAGACUGUUGUAUGUGAUUGAAAGGGACUAUCAAAAACCAUUCUGCAGAGUCUGCCCCUCGAUAGCCCUGCUUCCAUGAAGUUUUCCCUAACCCCAAACUGGAUUUGACCUCUCCAUUGUUGAAUUUCCCAUUAUCAGUGCUGGGUAAGGCAAGCAGAGUAGAGACAAGGAGGAGCAGAUGGGUCCUGCCAGUGGAGGAAUAGACAGGCAAAGAGGUGAUCGGUCAAUGGCAACAUGGUAACACAGAGCUCCCCCAAACUAAC